AAGUAAGAUAGAGGCGCAAAAACCAUUAGUACACAAUCAGAGGAUCAUGAGGUUCUGUGAAGAUUGUCGAAAGGGGAAUUUGCCGAAGCGGCGAGAAACUCAUGAUCUCCAAGCUGAUCCUGGACUGAACAAGUGCAGGAUUGUCAUAUAGGAAACUAUAUGGUGGGCUAUCUCAUGC
rnacentral:ncRNA from 2 species